AACUAAGGUAGUAGUAGUUAUGUUCUUGAAACUUAAAAAAUUUGGCGGUAUUUUAGUCUAUUCAGAGGAACCUGUUCUAUAAUCGAUAAUCCACGAUGGACCUUACUUAAAUUUGUAAUCAGUUUAUAUACCGUCGUUAUUAGAAUAUUUUAUAAGAAUGUUAAUUUUCAUAAUUUUUAAAAAGAAAGUAUAUCAGAUCAAGGUGUAGCUAAUAUUUAAGUAGAAAUGGGUUACAAUAAAUUUAUUUAUACGGAUAUAAAUUUGAAAUAUUUAUUGAAGGUGGAUUUGAUAGUAAAAUUAUAAAGAUUAAUAAUUUGAUUUUAGCUCUAAAAUAUGCACAAAUCGCCCGUCACUCUCUGA
rnacentral:rRNA from 1 species